rnacentral:rRNA from 1 species
CCUACGGGAGGCAGCAGUAAGGAAUAUUGGACAAUGGACGCAAGUCUGAUCCAGCCAUGCCGCGUGAAGGAUUAAGGCCCUCUGGGUUGUAAACUUCUUUUAUAGGGGACGAAAAAAGGGCUUUCUAGCUCGACUGACGGUACCCUAUGAAUAAGCACCGGCUAACUCCGUGCCAGCAGCCGCGGUAAUACGGAGGGUGCAAGCGUUAUCCGGAUUCACUGGGUUUAAAGGGUGCGUAGGCGGGCAUUUAAGUCAGUGGUGAAAUCUUCGAGCUCAACUCGGAAACUGCCAUUGAUACUAUUUGUCUUGAAUAUUGUGGAGGUGAGCGGAAUAUGUCAUGUAGCGGUGAAAUGCUUAGAUAUGACAUAGAACACCGAUUGCGAAGGCAGCUCGCUACACAAAUAUUGACGCUGAGGCACGAAAGCGUGGGGAUCAAACAGGAUUAGAUACCCUGGUAGUCCACGCCCUAAACUAUGGAUACUCGACAUUUGCGAUACACAGUAAGUGUCUGAGCGAAAGCAUUAAGUAUCCCACCUGGAAGUACGACCGCAAGGUUGAAACUCAAAGGAAUUGACGG